rnacentral:rRNA from 1 species
AACGAACGCUGCGGCAGGCCUAACACAUGCAAGUCGAGCGCACCUUCGGGUGAGCGGCGGACGGGUUAGUAACGCGUGGGAACGUACCCUUUUCUACGGAAUAGCCUUUGGAAACGAAGAGUAAUACCGUAUACGCCCUUUGGGGGAAAGAUUUAUCGGAGAAGGAUCGGCCCGCGUUAGAUUAGAUAGUUGGUGGGGUAACGGCCUACCAAGUCUACGAUCUAUAGCUGGUUUUAGAGGAUGAUCAGCAACACUGGGACUGAGACACGGCCCAGACUCCUACGGGAGGCAGCAGUGGGGAAUCUUAGACAAUGGGCGCAAGCCUGAUCUAGCCAUGCCGCGUGAGUGAUGAAGGCCUUAGGGUCGUAAAGCUCUUUCGCCUGUGAUGAUAAUGACAGUAGCAGGUAAAGAAACCCCGGCUAACUCCGUGCCAGCAGCCGCGGUAAUACGGAGGGGGUUAGCGUUGUUCGGAAUUACUGGGCGUAAAGCGCACGUAGGCGGAUUGGAAAGUUGGGGGUGAAAUCCCGGGGCUCAACCCCGGAACUGCCUCCAAAACUAUCAGUCUAGAGUUCGAGAGAGGUGAGUGGAAUUCCAAGUGUAGAGGUGAAAUUCGUAGAUAUUUGGAGGAACACCAGUGGCGAAGGCGGCUCACUGGCUCGAUACUGA